CCUACGGGAGGCUGCAGUCGAGAAUCUUCCGCAAUGGGCGCAAGCCUGACGGAGCGACGCCGCGUGGAGGACGAAGGCCUUCGGGUUGUAAACUCCUGUCACGAGUUAAGAAGGUGCUGCUGCGAACAGCGGUAGCAUUUGACGUAAGCUCGAGAGGAAGCACUGGCUAACUCUGUGCCAGCAGCCGCGGUAAUACAGAGAGUGCAAACGUUGUUCGGAAUUACUGGGCUUAAAGCGCACGUAGGCGGCGCCGCAAGUGUGGGGUGAAAGCCCAC
rnacentral:rRNA from 1 species